AUGCGAAAGUUCCUUCUGGUACUCUGAUUACUAAUUAGAAACACCACAAUAAAAAGGGGAAUUCACCAACAUAAAAUUGACACUGCUAAAAUAACUUUAAUCUAGUCUCUUCUACAAAACAAUCAACCAAGAUGAGAGCUAUUAUAAGCGCCAUCGUGGUAGUUGCUACUGUUUGUUAUUUCUUUGUAGCGGCAAAUGCCAACCCUCUCUUCCUUGACAACAUCAUCUGUGAGUGUUUUGUCGCCCCUUGUCCGUGUAGCUCUGGCUGAACACAUUAAACAAGAUAUUAUCAAGAGCCCCGAUUAGCUGUUCUUUAUUUUCUAAGAGUUGAUGUCCCCAUUACAUGACGCUGUCAGUUAUAUUGUGACAAUGUAGGACACAAUCUUCAAUCAAUUAAUGUCACUUUUUGACAUUGUUGUUAUUGCACUCAAAUCAAAUAAAGUUCGGACUAUGUGGUCAUUUUGAAAACUA